rnacentral:rRNA from 1 species
UGCCAGCCGCCGCGGUAAUACGGAGGGGGCAAGCGUUGUCCGGAUUUAUUGGGUUUAAAGGGUGCGUAGGUGGUUUUUUAAGUCAGUGGUGAAAGCCUGCAGCUCAACUGUAGAGGUGCCAUUGAAACUGGGAAACUUGAGUAUGGACGAGGUAGGCGGAAUUCCAGGUGUAGUGGUGAAAUACGUAGAUAUCUGGAAGAACACCAGAGGCGAAGGCGGUCUCUUGGUCCGAAACUGACGCUGAGGCGCGAAAGCGUGGGGAGCAAACAGGAUUAGAUA